AGUUUGUGUUUUUUAAAAUAAAUACUAAAAUCAGGUGAUGCAGUUUAUGGGAAAGAAAACACCAUGUGAAAUGAGGGUUGAUCCCUCAGCAAGAAGGAGUUAACCAAAAACAGUGUACAUAACCAGGCCAAACAAAGUACAAGGCUGAGGGACUAAUCUGUUCUUCCCAAAGUGACAGGAAACUUAUAGAAAACACACAUAUAAAAAGAAAACAAAAAGACUUUCCGCAAGUCCUUUCAGUAACGGUGGUCUGGGUCCUGGCUCUGGGGGCGAAUGGCUGUCCCUGGCCAGGCGGUCCGGCGGGUCUGCGCUGGGAGUCUCCAACAUAAAGCUGGGCUGCCAAUCCUUUCCUGGUGACUGCUUAAAAGAGGACAUGUUUGUGCUCCACGAAAAAAAAAAUGUGGAAUGAAUUCACCCCCUGAAAAUAAUAGAAAUCAAACAUAUUCUUAAACCACAUCUCUUUCCCAUUUCUCUCCACGGUGAUUUCUGUGCCUGUUUGACUGAAGUUCAGGAAUAAAUCCCAGAAAAGAAGUGACAUCAGGACCAGCAGCAGUGGCUAAUUACCCGCUCCCUGGCGCUGACCAGUGAGUGGAGAUUAAGACCCGAGGAGACACACCAGGGAAGCUGAUAAAUAUUCUCUUGCGAUGCUGCUCUGAGACCUCAGAUAACAGGCCUCAGGAUGGAGGAACCAAUGCAGCUCUUUGGAUGGAGUGCACCUCGCCUUUCCCCACCCUUCCUUUCCCCAGGGCAGCUCUGUCUCCUGCCCUUCCCCAGGCUCCAAAAGCCCUUCUUUUGCUGUAACUUGUUUUUUGAGCCCAUUUCUUCUAUGGCUCGCUGCUUCUACCUCUCUGGCUUGCUAAAUAAACUUUCCUAUCAUUUGA